GAAUGACUGUUUUAUCUCCUGCUGGAGAGACCCAGCAACACACAGUGAGUGCUGACUGGGUACAUUCAGUUUUGUGGGCCCACACCUGUAGAACCUCUUCCCAAACUCUCCUUGCUGAAUUUCAGAACCUGAUCUAUGCAAAAAUAUGUUUGUCUGACAACAAAAGUAGCACCAUCGGUGAAGCAGACCAUGAAGCUUUGGUUGAAUGAUGAGCUAGUAUUUUGGGUUUUUAUCUUGUUGCAGAAAUCAAACAUCAAGUGAAUAAUUUACUCUAAGGUAACCAGCUCAUGAACAGUCCCUCAGUGGUCAUGAUCUUUCAAUAGACAAAAUAUGAGGAGAAGGAGAUGAUUCAGUAUAUGCAGCUGUGCAGUUGUAAAUAUGUCUUGGGCCCACACUGAGUUAGCAGUGAAUACAAAAGUAAGUGUUUACUCAAAUACCUUUCAUGCUGCCAUUGAGACGUGAAUAUUUUAUAGAAACAUUACAGUUUUAGAUGUUAAAGAACAAAUGAAUAUGGUAUGUUUUCACUUGAUAAUGUGAUUGCGUGUUCAUUGUUUGAAAACUUGCAUAGCCCAUAUUUUGUCUUAUUUAUUAAAUU